rnacentral:lncRNA from 1 species
UUUUAUUUAUUUGUUUAGGAGAGUGUGCCCAAGUUUAUUUUUCUGUAGUGGUGUUAAAUUUUUAAAGUAUUUAUUGAAUUUGUUACAAUAUUUUUCUGUUUUCUGUUUUGUGUUUUUUUGGGCCAUGAGGCAUGUGGGAUCUUAGCUCCCCAACCAAGUACUGGACCAGCACUCCCUACAUAGGAAGGCAAAGUCUUAACCACUGAACCGCCAGGGAAGUUCCUAUUUUAUCUGAGUAAAGUUGAUUUACAGUGUUUUGUUAGUUUAAGGUGUACAGCAAAGUGAUGCAGUUAAGUGUUAGUUGCUCAGUCGUGUCUGACUUUAACCCUGUGGACUGGAGCCUGCCAGGCUCCUCUGUCCAUGGAAUUCUCCAGGCAAGAAUACUGGAGUGGGUUGCCAUGCUCUCUUCCAGGGGAUCUUCCCGACCAGGGAUCAGAUCUGCUUCUCUGCAUUGCAGAAUCUUUACCGACUGAGCCACCACAUACAUUAUUUUUUAGAUUCUUUUCUCAUAUAGGCUAUCACAGAAUAUUGAGUAGAGUUCCCUGUGCUAUCCAGUAGGUCCUGUUAGUUAUCUAUCUUAUAUAUAUAGCAGUGUGUGUUUUCAUCCCAAGCUUCUGAUUUAUCCCUCUUAAGCAUCUUAUUUAAAGUGAGCCUGUUUGCCUCUCCUCAUCUUAAUCUAUGCCAUUUAAUUAUCCUCUAUGUUCUCUGUAGAACUAGCUCAAAUCAUCUUGUUUAUUUAUUUACUUGUUAUUUUAUUAUCUCCCCCAUUAGAAGGAGAUCUGACACCCUAUUUAUUUUUAUACUGUGAAUUCUGAGUGCCCAGCAUAGGGCUUACACAUAAGAUGGGCUUAAUAAUGGUUUCUUAAAUUAGUGCCUAUGAGAUUUUUUUUUUUUUUUUUUUUGAUUGCCUGUCUUUCAGAAGGAGAUCAGUUAGACUCUCUAAAGGAAGCUGCAGUGUUGUGGCCAAGCCUUGUCAUGGGGUCAGAAGAUGAGGGUCAAAUUCUAAAUUCUCCACUUGAAAAUCAGCUGACUUUGGUGAAAAGGCAUCAUCAAGUCCUACUCUGCAUUUUUCUGAUGAAACACCUGUUAUUCAGAAACCACCUGCUCCUGGUUUCCCAGAGUUCCGGAGAAGGGACUGGAACCCAGGCUCCUGUUUCCUGGCUGGGAAUCUCUCCACCAUGCCCCUACUUUCCCUUGGCUCCUUCUGUUUUCUCACCUCCUACAACCAAUCAGCACGUACCCAGCAGAGUUUCCCAACCUUUCUGAGAGCUGGGAAUGCUUACUGUUAGAAACCCCAGCACACAUCACCAAAGCAUUAAAAUGUGCCCACGUCAAAUAAAAUCUGUGUAUAACUUUAUGAAAAUUGGGUUGCCUUGGCAGUCGACUGAAAGUUACAUUUUAGAAAAUUUAAACACUUAUUAAUGUAUUUCAGUUUGCUUUUUUACAUUUUGAAGUCAUUUUUUUUCCCUCCAGCAGAUGUAAUUAUAGACCCUCGAAAGGCAUUUGUGUCUUUGGUGCUUUAUACAUUACAAAAAACGUCUUAUUUACUUUUUACCCAUUGGUGAGUUCCCCAUCUUCCUUGUUCCUGUUUGCUUAUAAUAGUCAACGACCAUUCCGGAGUCUAGGAAGCAUCUGGAAACUGUUGAGUACUUGGUGGGUGAUAUUUCAUGUAGGUAAUGCUGUUGACUUGCAAACAUGAUCUCAUGCACCAGCGUCCAUUUUUGUCCAAGAGUGUGACAGUCGAAUCUUACAUUUGCCGUAGGUAUUGUGGACUGCAAAGGGCUUUCUCAUAUAUUACCCAUUUGUACAGUACUUGAGCACAAUCUGUAUUAUGUUACAGCUUCUCUUGAUUUUACCAAUAAGAAUCCAAAACUUAGGGAGGAGAAGUGACUGACUCACUCAGAGUUAUAAAGCAAGUGGCAGAACAAAGGUGAGAAUUGCUAUCUUCUGCGUUUCAAGUGUGCCAUGAUGCUUUUGGACCUGGAGAAAUUACUCCUGAAAGAGGAAAUAAGCAAGGAUGGAAUCACUGGGAUAGCUUUAGCUUUGUGUGAGUGCGCGCAUGUGUGUGUGAGACUGAAACUAGCCUUGAAUAUUCUUUAUUUGCCCUACAGAUAGUGGAAUCAAAUUAAUUAAUUAGGUCAACAAAUACUUAUUAGUGAUGGACCCUGUUAUAAGUGCUGGGGAUACAGCAGUGAACUAAAAGAGCCUCACAGAGCUCACAUUCUAUAUGCAACAGGUAAAUGAUAAAUUGACAAGACAAUAUAUAUUAAUAGUAUUUGAUGUCAAUUAGUGUUAAGGAUAAAAAUUAAAGCAGUUGAGGGGAUAGGAAAACUGGGUGGGGGGAGUUGCUGUGUUGUUCAGACAGGUCAAAGGUGACUCAUUUGUAAGGUGGCCUUGAGAAGAGACUUAUAAGGGAGGAAGGAUGUAGCAUGGAUACUGGGAACAGACUAGCCUAGAUGAACAUGUGCAAAGGCCCUGAGACAGGGACAUGUUUGGCAUGUAUGAGAAACCACAAGGAAACCAGCCCAGCUGGAGAAGAGUGAGUAGACUGGGAUGGAGGAGAGAGUUAUUGGUAGAAAAUAAGGUGAAG